rnacentral:rRNA from 1 species
UNUGGGCCGUUACUGACGCUGAGGAGCGAAAGCGUGGGGAGCGAACAGGAUUAGAUACCCUGGUAGUNCACGCUGUAAACGUUGGACACUAGGUGUGGGGGCCACCCCUGGUUUCUGCGCCGUAGCUAACGCUUUAAGUGCCCCGCCUGGGGAGUACGGCCGCAAGGCUAAAACUCAAAGGAAUUGACGGGGGCCCGCACAAGCGGCGGAGCAUGCGGAUUAAUUCGAUGCAACGCGAAGAACCUUACCAAGGCUUGACAUGCACGGCGGCACUGCAGAGAUGUGGUGGCAUUUAGUUGGUCGUGUGCAGGUGGUGCAUGGUUGUCGUCAGCUCGUGUCGUGAGAUGUUGGGUUAAGUCCCGCAACGAGCGCAACCCUUGCCCUAUGUUGCCAGCACGUGAUGGUGGGGACUCGUGGGGGACUGCCGGGGUUAACUCGGAGGAAGGUGGGGAUGACGUCAGAUCAUCAUGCCCCUUAUGUCUUGGGCUUCACGCAUGCUACAAUGGCUGGUACAGAGGGUUGCGAUAUCGUGAGGUGGAGCGAAUCCCUUAAAGCCAGUCUCAGUUCGGAUUGGGGUCUGCAACUCGACCCCAUGAAGGUGGAGUCGCUAGUAAUCGCAGAUCAGCAACGCUGCGGUGAAUACGUUCUCGGGCCUUGUACAC